rnacentral:piRNA from 1 species
UAGGUUUCAGGUCGAUUGUAA